AUUUAUCAAUGGGAGAGGAAGGGGAAGGAAUUGUGCAUACUGAGAUUUUAUUUUGGUGUAGAACGAGAGGACUCUGCAGGUUAAACUAUGAGCUUCAGAAGAAACUUUGUUUUUUGUCUCUGGCUUUCCCAAAAGCUUGGAAAGACGCUGCAUUUUCAUCGCCUGGCUGCACAACAGCUUUGCUGGUUCUUCUCCCGCCACCCAACUGCGUUACGCAUCCUCAUUCAUCCUUGAACUUUUGCUUCCAAGCCUAUCGGGCACUGCAGUUGUUUGGGGUUUUUUUGCUUGUUAGCAUUUGGUUGCUUCAUGGGCAAAUAGGUCUGAGAAGAGAUUAGGGAUUGGAGCAAUGGGCCAUGACCCUUUGCAAAGGAAUCGAUGCCUCUGAAGCUGGGGACGCAUUGUGCACUUGCGCAGUUCCGAGGGAAGGAAGUAAAAGGGGGGGGGGGGUUGCUUACUUGCCAGACGAGAGACGCCAGGAAAGCAGUUUGAGGAAGAGAUCAGCAGGCAAGGUGUAGAGCUUUCCUACAGAAACCAACCUUCCCUUUCUAAUAAAAGCAAUAAUCUACCGGACUAGCACCCUCUGGUGUGAGAAAGGUGGAACUGUCAGGAAGCCAAAGGAAAAGAUGGCAGAGUGAAUUCCUCGUGACGUAGUAAUACUCAUAUGCAAGCUUAAGUUUUUAUUUUAUUUUAAACUCCUCUGAAACUUCUUCCUGCCAUCAGAAAGGUGGGGUCCUGCUCACGUGCUUAUCUCUGAUGCAUGUUUUAAAAGUGCAUUCUGAAAUAAACAAGCCUGUUUCAUUUUUUUGCUUUUUUUUGGUAAAUCCUCCCCCCACAAAAAAGGAAAAUAUUGCCACUGCCUGGAUAGCUCAGUUGGUUAGAGUGGGGCGAUGAUAACGCCAGGGUUGCAGGUUCGAUCCCCGUAUGGCACAGCUGUGUAUUCCUGCAUUGCGGGGGGUUGGACAAGGUGAUCCUCGGGGUCCCAACUCCACAAUUAUAGGGCCUAGAAAUAUAGAGGGUGGCGCUGUGGGUUAAACCACAGAGCCUAGGGCUUGCAUAUCAGAAGGUUGGCGGUUCGAAUCCCCGCGACAGGGUGAGCUCCCGUUGCUCAGUCCCUGCUCCUGCCAACCUAGCAGUUCGAAAGCAUGUCAAAGUGCAAGUAGAUAAAUAGGUACCACUCUGGCAGGAAGGUAAACGGCGUUUCCGUGCACUGCUCUGGUUCGCCAGAAGCGGCUUAGUCCUGCUGGCCACAUGUACGCCGGCUCCCUCGGCCAAUAAAGCAAGAUGAGCGCCGCAACCCCAGAGUCGGCCAUGACUGGACCUAAUGGUCAGGGGUCCCUUUACCUUUACUGCAGGAGUAAGGACUUAAAACAUUGCUUAGCUGGAGCAGAGCAAGAUUCAUAAGCUCCAGCUAUUCUGUGCCCAGGCAGAUGCUCAGGAGAUUGGGGCAUACAAGAAGACUCCUGUAUCUGGAUCGCACCAAAGGCCCAUAUAGUCCAACGUCGUGUUCUCACAGUGACCAACCAGAUGCCCCAGUGGGGAGCAGGACCUGGUCAGGACCUGAAUGCCACAGUGCCCCACUCCACAAUUGCGAUUCCUCUGCAACUGGCACGGGAGGCAGAGCAUAGCCAUCCUGGCUGGUAGCCAUCGAUAGCCUUUCCCUCCAUGAAUAUGUCAAAAUCCUCUUUAAAGCCAUCCAAGCUGGAGGCGGCCACUACAUCUUACUGGAGCGAAUUUCAUAGUUUUAACCAAGUGCCACGUGAGAAAGUUCAUUUGUUCGCCUGCCCCCAGCCUUCAUGGAGCAUGGGACAAACUUGUGGUUUGUUUUUUUUAAAAAAAGAGAUCCUAUUCUGUCUUCUAGUUGACUUCUCAUAUGGUAUUCAUACCCUCCCCUGUUUUUUAUUUAUUCCUUCCAAUUCUAUGAUUUGUCUCAGUGAAGAUCCUCUCUUAAAGGCACGUUAACUCUUGUCCGUGGGAAACAACUCCAGCCUCCUGGCGUGGCUGAUGUUUUCAGCUCCUGGAUUGGCCUAGAGAGGCUGGGGGCUUGCAGGGAGGGCUUGCUCAUCGUCCCCCAAAUCUGAGAAGGCAUCAGAGGGGGGCGUGAUGCAGGGGAGCAGCUUGGAAGAUGGGAAGGCUAUAUCAGGUCAUGUAGCUCUGUAGUAACCACACAGACUGGCAGUAGCUCUCCAGAUUUCAUUCAGAGAGGAGUCUCUGCCAGCCGUGCCUAGAGACGCAGGGGAUUGAACCUUAAACCUUCUGCAUGCAAGGCAGCAGCUGUUCUACCAUUGAGCUGAGGCCCUUCCCCUCUCUCUUUUAGGGUUCGAAUGUGGAGGCUCCCUGCUCCCCACCCCCGUUACAACCGGAAACGCCUUUGGCCAAACAUACGCUUGCAAGCUACCUUGAAUUUCUGCGUGGCGGAGAGGUGGGAUAUGAAACAAGGUUCGAUUCUUGCCGGUGUCCCACUGAUGGAUUGCUUUGUGGGUAUCAAGGAUGUCCCAGAGCACCAGUGGAUCUUCUCUCUCUUUUUUUGUAGAUACCAAAACUGUCAUUCCAGCACUUUGGUGGGAGGAGAGAAUAAUUUCUUCCUGUUGAUUUUGGGAAAGCUCGCCCUUGGUUCUGAGCUAGUUUUAUUUAUUAAACACGAAAAGGAAAUCCCAGGGAAUCUGUGUUCAUGCAUUUAACUAUUUAUACC